rnacentral:rRNA from 1 species
CGAGCCACAUAACCCACGUGCUUAACCGAGCAACGUCUCCUAUAAAGGAGCCAGGGCUCAGCGCAAACGUCCGCUCGCUACCGAUAAACCAGACCGGGUAGCGCGCAAAAUCGACGUAAAGCGACGAAUUCCGUCCUUUAUCCUCGCGGUUAAGCUUGGGGUUUAACGAUUUAGGGGUUUAGGGAACCGUCGCUCUAACGGCCGCUACGCCGGAGGCCGCGGGUUCUGGAGGCGGAUGUCGGUUGUUCUUGGAGCAGGCCUCUUGGAAGAAGAGGAGCGAAGGGGGGCGCGACGGUUUGAGAGGGAACCGACGGGGGAGAACCUGGCGGAGGAGAGGCCACCGGAGGGGCGGCGCAGCCAGUGUCUCUAACGACCGCUUAGGCGGCGGCCCUUCUGGGUCGAAACGGAGGUCGAGCGGGAGGAGCGCGGGGAGAGGGGAGUGGGAAGGAGGAGGGAGAAGAAUACGAGGCUGCAGGGGAAAGGGGAGGCGGCGGAGGCGGAGGAACGGGGGUUUAGCGCCGGUCUGGAGGACCUAGUGCAGGAACACCGGCGACAUGUGAGGGGGAGGCUGGAGGAGAGGGAGGAUAGGGCGCGGGUCAUGGUGGAGAGGGUGGGCUCAGCGAGGGGGGUGGGGGACGGAUAGGCGCAGUAGGAGGAACUGAGGUAGCGAAGGGAGAAGGCGCGGCUGAAGCUGCGGAGUGGGCGGCUGGAGUUUGCGGCCAGACCCGAGAAGAAGUUCUAUAGGCGUUUUGAGUUCCUUGACCGAGUGUCCGUGGUUACACACCAACACCAAUGGUUGGUCCACCAGCUGCACCACCUCCCCUUGUGCCCUUUGUGGCACCGGACCAGCAGCCCCGCCGUCCACUCGGGACGCGACCCCGAACGCACCCGGUUGACGCAGUUGUGAGCCGACAAGGACUGCGCCCUCCACCUAUCGUUGCCACCCUCACGGUCCUCCGUGUACUUCCACCGGAAGCGCGGCGUGAACGGCCACGCCUGCACACUCAAGCACUAUGCCUCCCUGCCACAGAAGCCGCAACUCGGCCGUGUUUCCAUCCGGUUGCCAGAACAUACAGUCAGUAGAAAACGGUCCUCUCUUGGGCUGCUGGACAAGCUAGCUUACACGUAGACCCACUAAGUCAAACUUUAUGUCACAUUCCUCUAAUAGGAGUAAGGAGCUACCAAGUUUACUUUACACUUAAUCGAGACAGAAUAAAGAAUAUCUAGAAAAACCCCUACGCCACUUGAAUACCGCUCGUUCAAUCAAUACUUUAGGGUUCCGCCUGUUUUUAUCCAAGAACGAAAUCACCCGCACCAACUUUAGUCCCAUAACUAAUACACGGUCGAGUUAUAACUAUGGAAGUUACCUCAAACAGUUUCACUUGGAAGCAUUAUUCGUGAAACAACGGACACUUUAGAUAACGGAAUUUAUGAAACGUAACGACUUAGUUGUUGGAAGUUGUAGUUAUGAGGACACGUUGGAACACGAAUACUCAAUACUACCGAUAACUGACAUUGUGAUUAUAAGUAGUUUUCUACAUAUAACUAUGGAAGUUACCUCAAACAGGCAUUAUUCGU